rnacentral:rRNA from 1 species
CAGCCGCCGCGGUAAUACGAAGGGUGCAAGCGUUACUCGGAAUUACUGGGCGUAAAGCGUGCGUAGGUGGUUGUUUAAGUCUGCUGUGAAAGCCCUGGGCUCAACCUGGGAAUUGCAGUGGAUACUGGGCGACUAGAGUAAGGUAGAGGAUAGUGGAAUUUCCGGUGUAGCAGUGAAAUGCGUAGAGAUCGGAAGGAACAUCUGUGGCGAAGGCGACUAUCUGGGCCAUUACUGACACUGAGGCACGAAAGCGUGGGGAGCAAACAGGAUUAGAUACCCCUGUAGUCCCUGUCUCUUAUAA